rnacentral:rRNA from 1 species
GACGAACGCUGGCGGCGUGCCUAAUACAUGCAAGUAGAACGCUGAAGGAGGAGCUUGCUUCUCUGGAUGAGUUGCGAACGGGUGAGUAACGCGUAGGUAACCUGCCUGGUAGCGGGGGAUAACUAUUGGAAACGAUAGCUAAUACCGCAUAGGAGUAGAUGUUGCAUGACAUUUGCUUAAAAGGUGCAAUUGCAUCACUACCAGAUGGACCUGCGUUGUAUUAGCUAGUUGGUGGGGUAACGGCCCACCAAGGCGACGAUACAUAGCCGACCUGAGAGGGGGAUCGGCCACACUGGGACUGAGACACGGCCCAGACUCCUACGGGAGGCAGCAGUAGGGAAUCUUCGGCAAUGGACGGAAGUCUGACCGAGCAACGCCGCGUGAGGGAAGAAGGUUUUCGGAUCGUAAAGCUCUGUUGUAAGAGAAGAACGAGUGUGAGAGUGGAAAGUUCACACUGUGACGGUAUCUUACCAGAAAAGGACGGCUAACUACGUG